rnacentral:rRNA from 1 species
UACGUAGGUGGCAAGCGUUGUCCGGAUUUACUGGGCGUAAAGGAUGCGUAGGCGGAUAUUUAAGUGAGAUGUGAAAUUCCCGGGCUCAACUUGGGAGCUGCAUUCAAACUGGGUAUCUGGAGUGCGGGAGAGGAGAGUGGAAUUCCCGGUGUAGCGGUGAAAUGCGCAGAUAUCGGGAGGAACACCAGAGGCGAAGGCGGCGACCUGGACAGAUACUGACACUCAACUACGAAAGCGUGGGGAGCAAACA